AGAGCGAACGCUGGCGGCAGGCUUAACACAUGCAAGUCGAGCGGGCGUAGCAAUACGUCAGCGGCAGACGGGUGAGUAACGCGUGGGAACGUACCUUUUGGUUCGGAACAACACAGGGAAACUUGUGCUAAUACCGGAUAAGCCCUUACGGGGAAAGAUUUAUCGCCAAAAAGAUCGGCCCGCGUCUGAUUAGCUAGUUGGUGAGGUAACGGCUCACCAAGGCGACGAUCAGUAGCUGGUCUGAGAGGAUGAUCAGCCACAUUGGGACUGAGACACGGCCCAAACUCCUACGGGAGGCAGCAGUGGGGAAUAUUGGACAAUGGGCGCAAGCCUGAUCCAGCCAUGCCGCGUGAGUGAUGAAGGCCCUAGGGUUGUAAAGGCUCUUUUGUGCGGGAAGAUAAUGACGGUACCGCAAGAAUAAGCCCCGGCUAACUUCGUGCCAGCAGCCGC
rnacentral:rRNA from 1 species